rnacentral:rRNA from 1 species
UACGUAGGGGGCAAGCGUUGUCCGGAUUUAUUGGGCGUAAAGAGCUCGUAGGCGGCUUGGCAAGUCGGGUGUGAAAACUCCAGGCUCAACCUGGAGAUGCCACUCGAGACUGCUAUGGCUAGAGUCCGGUAGGGGACCACGGAAUUCCUGGUGUAGCGGUGAAAUGCGCAGAUAUCAGGAGGAACACCGAUGGCGAAGGCAGGUCACUGGGCCGCAACUGACGCUGAGGAGCGAAAGCAUGGGGAGCGAACAGG